rnacentral:rRNA from 1 species
UACAGAGGGGGCAAGCGUUGUUCGGAAUUACUGGGCGUAAAGGGCGCGUAGGCGGCCCGCUAAGUCGAACGUGAAAUCCCCGAGCUCAACUCGGGAACUGCGUCCGAUACUGGCGGGCUUGAAUCCGGGAGAGGGAUGCGGAAUUCCAGGUGUAGCGGUGAAAUGCGCAGAUAUCGGGAAGAACACCCGUGGCGAAGGCGGCUCUCUGGGACGGUACUGACGCUGAGACGCGAAAGCGUGGGGAGCGAACAGG